rnacentral:rRNA from 1 species
UUAAGCGACUAAGCGUACACGGUGGAUGCCCUGGCAGUCAGAGGCGAUGAAGGACGUGCUAAUCUGCGAAAAGCGUCGGUAAGGUGAUAUGAACCGUUAUAGCCGGCGAUGUCCGAAUGGGGAAACCCAGUGUGAUUCGUCACACUAUCGUUAACUGAAUACAUAGGUUAACGAGGCGAACCGGGGGAACUGAAACAUCUAAGUACCCCGAGGAAAAGAAAUCAACCGAGAUUCCCCCAGUAGCGGCGAGCGAACGGGGAGCAGCCCAGAGUCUGAAUCAGCUUGUGUGUUAGUGGAACGGUCUGGAAAGUCCGACGGUACAGGGUGAUAGUCCCGUACACCAAAAUGCACAGGCUGUGAACUCGAAGAGUAGGGCGGGACACGUGGUAUCCUGUCUGAAUAUGGGGGGACCAUCCUCCAAGGCUAAAUACUCCUGACUGACCGAUAGUGAACCAGUACCGUGAGGGAAAGGCGAAAAGAACCCCGGCGAGGGGAGUGAAAAAGAACCUGAAACCGUGUACGUACAAGCAGUGGGAGCACCUUCGGGUGUGACUGCGUACCUUUUGUAUAAUGGGUCAGCGACUUAUAUUCUGUAGCAAGGUUAACCGUAUAGGGGAGCCGCAGGGAAACCGAGUCUUAACUGGGCGUUAAGUUGCAGGGUAUAGACCCGAAACCCGGUGAUCUAGCCAUGGGCAGGUUGAAGGUUGGGUAACACUAACUGGAGGACCGAACCGACUAAUGUUGAAAAAUUAGCGGAUGACUUGUGGCUGGGGGUGAAAGGCCAAUCAAACCGGGAGAUAGCUGGUUCUCCCCGAAAGCUAUUUAGGUAGCGCCUCGUGAACUCAUCUUCGGGGGUAGAGCACUGUUUCGGCUAGGGGGUCAUCCCGACUUACCAACCCGAUGCAAACUACGAAUACCGAAGAAUGUUAUCACGGGAGACACACGGCGGGUGCUAACGUCCGUCGUGAAGAGGGAAACAACCCAGACCGCCAGCUAAGGUCCCAAAGUCAUGGUUAAGUGGGAAACGAUGUGGGAAGGCACAGACAGCCAGGAUGUUGGCUUAGAAGCAGCCAUCAUUUAAAGAAAGCGUAAUAGCUCACUGGUCGAGUCGGCCUGCGCGGAAGAUGUAACGGGGCUAAACCAUGCACCGAAGCUGCGGCAGCGACACUAUGUGUUGUUGGGUAGGGGAGCGUUCUGUAAGCCUGCGAAGGUGACCUGUGAGGGUUGCUGGAGGUAUCAGAAGUGCGAAUGCUGACAUAAGUAACGAUAAAGCGGGUGAAAAGCCCGCUCGCCGGAAGACCAAGGGUUCCUGUCCAACGUUAAUCGGGGCAGGGUGAGUCGACCCCUAAGGCGAGGCCGAAAGGCGUAGUCGAUGGGAAACAGGUUAAUAUUCCUGUACUUGGUGUUACUGCGAAGGGGGGACGGAGAAGGCUAUGUUAGCCGGGCGACGGUUGUCCCGGUUUAAGCAUGUAGGCUGGUUAUCCAGGCAAAUCCGGAUAAUCAAGGCUGAGGUGUGAUGACGAGGCACUACGGUGCUGAAGUAACAAAUGCCCUGCUUCCAGGAAAAGCCUCUAAGCAUCAGGUAACAUCAAAUCGUACCCCAAACCGACACAGGUGGUCAGGUAGAGAAUACCAAGGCGCUUGAGAGAACUCGGGUGAAGGAACUAGGCAAAAUGGUGCCGUAACUUCGGGAGAAGGCACGCUGGUGUGUAGGUGAAGUCCCUGCGGAUGGAGCUGAGACCAGUCGAAGAUACCAGCUGGCUGCAACUGUUUAUUAAAAACACAGCACUGUGCAAACACGAAAGUGGACGUAUACGGUGUGACGCCUGCCCGGUGCCGGAAGGUUAAUUGAUGGGGUUAUCCGUAAGGAGAAGCUCUUGAUCGAAGCCCCGGUAAACGGCGGCCGUAACUAUAACGGUCCUAAGGUAGCGAAAUUCCUUGUCGGGUAAGUUCCGACCUGCACGAAUGGCGUAAUGAUGGCCAGGCUGUCUCCACCCGAGACUCAGUGAAAUUGAACUCGCUGUGAAGAUGCAGUGUACCCGCGGCAAGACGGAAAGACCCCGUGAACCUUUACUAUAGCUUGACACUGAACAUUGAGCCUUGAUGUGUAGGAUAGGUGGGAGGCUUUGAAGCGUGGACGCCAGUCUGCGUGGAGCCAACCUUGAAAUACCACCCUUUAAUGUUUGAUGUUCUAACGUUGGCCCCUUACCGGGGUUGCGGACAGUGUCUGGUGGGUAGUUUGACUGGGGCGGUCUCCUCCCAAAGCGUAACGGAGGAGCACGAAGGUUAGCUAAUCCUGGUCGGACAUCAGGAGGUUAGUGCAAUGGCAUAAGCUAGCUUGACUGCGAGCGUGACGGCGCGAGCAGGUGCGAAAGCAGGUCAUAGUGAUCCGGUGGUUCUGAAUGGAAGGGCCAUCGCUCAACGGAUAAAAGGUACUCCGGGGAUAACAGGCUGAUACCGCCCAAGAGUUCAUAUCGACGGCGGUGUUUGGCACCUCGAUGUCGGCUCAUCACAUCCUGGGGCUGAAGUAGGUCCCAAGGGUAUGGCUGUUCGCCAUUUAAAGUGGUACGCGAGCUGGGUUUAGAACGUCGUGAGACAGUUCGGUCCCUAUCUGCCGUGGGCGCUGGAGAAUUGAGGGGGGCUGCUCCUAGUACGAGAGGACCGGAGUGGACGCAUCACUGGUGUUCGGGUUGUCAUGCCAAUGGCACUGCCCGGUAGCUAAAUGCGGAAGAGAUAAGUGCUGAAAGCAUCUAAGCACGAAACUUGCCCCGAGAUGAGUUCUCCCUGAGACUUUAAGUCUCCUGAAGGAACGUUGAAGACGACGACGUUGAUAGGCCGGGUGUGUAAGCGCAGCGAUGCGUUGAGCUAACCGGUACUAAUGAACCGUGAGGCUUAACCUU